CGUGUAGGCGGCUGCGUAAGUCGGGCGUGAAAUCCCAUGGCUCAACCAUGGAAGUGCACCCGAAACUGCGUAGCUAGAGUCCUGGAGAGGAAGGUGGAAUACUUGGUGUAGAGGUGAAAUUCGUAGAUAUCAAGUGGAACACCGGUGGCGAAGGCGGCCUUCUGGACAGUGACUGACGCUGAGACGCGAAAGCGUGGGGAGCAAACAGGAUUAGAUACCCUGGUAGUCCACGCCGUAAACGAUGAGUGCUAGGUGUCACGGGCUUUGACCCUCGUGGUGCCGAAGCUAACGCGUUAAGCACUCCGCCUGGGGAGUACGGCCGCAAGGCUAAA
rnacentral:rRNA from 1 species